rnacentral:rRNA from 1 species
GUGAACGCUGGCGGUAUGGAUAAGGCAUGCAAGUCGAACGGCCCGCAAGGGCAGUGGCAGACGAGGGUAAGUAAACAGGUAGGAACGUCCCCGGAAGUCUCGCACAGCUCGUCGAAAGACGGGGGUAAUUCGAGAUGGUCUCGCAAGAGUAAAGAUUUAUCGCUUCCGGAGCGGCCUGCCAUGUAUCAGCUUGUUGGUGAGGUAACGGCUCACCAAGGCUACGACGCAUAGGGGACCUGAGAGGGUGACCCCCACCGAUGAAACUGAGACACGGUUCAUACUCCUACGGGGGGCUGCAGCCGAGAAUAUUCGACAAUGGGCGAAAGCCUGAUCGAGCGAUUACCGCGUGGUGGAUGAAGUGCUUCGGCACGUAAACAUCUUUUAUGAGGGAAGAAGUCAUUGACGGUACCUCAUGAAUAAGGGGCUCCUAACUCUGUGCCAGCAGGAGCGGUAAUACAGAGGCCCCGAGCGUUACCCGGAAUUACUGGGCGUAAAGAGUGCGUAGGUGGUCGUAUUAGUCGCCUGUCAAAACCCUCGGCUCAACCGAGGAUCAGCGGGCGAAAACGGUACGACUCGAGGGCGUGAGAGGUACAGGGGACUCUAGGUGUAGAGGUGAAAUCCGUUGAUAUCUAGGGGAACACCGAAAGCGAAGGCACUGUACUGGCGCGUUCCUGACACUCAAGCACGAAAGCGUGGGUAGCGAACGGGAUUAGAUACCCCGGUAGUCCACGCCCUAAACGAUGUCCGCUGGCUUUGGGGAGUAUCGACCCUCUCCGAGGCGAAGCAAACGCGUUUAAGCGGACCGCCUGGGUAGUACGGCCGCAAGGCUAAAACUCAAAGGAAUAGACGGGAGCUUGCACAAGCGGUGGAGCGUGUGGCUCAAUUCGUCGCUAAACGGAGAACCUUACCAGGGCUAGAAAUCCUACUGCACGCCUAGCGAAAGCUAGGAAGCCUUCGAGGGUGUAGGACAGGUGAUGCAUGGCUGUCGUCAGUUCGUGGUUUGAAUCGUUCCCUUCAGUGGGGUAACGAACGCAACCUUCGUUGCCUGUUACAAGUGUCAGGCGAGACUGCCCCCUCACGGGGGAGGAAGGUGGAGAUGACGCCAAGUCAGCAUGUCCCUCUGAUGUCCUGGGCCGCACACGCGCUACAAUCGCCACUACAACGGGACGCAAUGGCGUAAGCCGAAGCAAAUCCUUCAAAAGUGGCGCCAGUUCGGAUUGAGGUCUGCAACCCGACCUCAUGAAGCCGGAAUCGCUAGUAAUCGCGGGUCAGCUAUACCGCGGUGAAUACGUUCUCAAGCUUUGUACUCACCGCCCGUCAAGUCAGGGAAGUUGGGAGUGCCCGAAGACGAUCCUCGCGAUCGUUCAAGGCAAACUCAAUGACAAAGACU